GAUUUUCCAGGCACUAUGUAGGAUCUCACUGGCAGCCAAACCAGUAGACAUCACAGCUGAGAACUAAAGUUGCUGAACUUCAGAUCAACCCAGGGAAGUAGCUUUCCACCAGUUGCUAUGGGCUGUACAGGGCCAGGAAUGGGCUGAGGUGAUCCUUACACAGUGGUGUGAUCCUUGCAGAGUGAGAUCUCCUGAAGUUUUAACUGUGUUUCUGGAGUAUAGAUCCAAGAGUGAGUUGGCUAACAAUUAAUAGAAAUAAAGUGGAAGAUAGCCUCCACUGUUCCUAUUUUACUAUAAGUCUCUUGGAAGAAGGACUGACUCUCUAAUCCCUGUUGUAUCCAGCAAACUAA